AGAGUUUGAUCCUGGCUCAGGACGAACGCUGGCGGCGUGCCUAAUACAUGCAAGUCGAACGCUUCUUUUUCCACCGGAGCUUGCUCCACCGGAAGAAGAGGAGUGGCGAACGGGUGAGUAACACGUGGGUAACCUGCCCAUCAGAAGGGGAUAACACUUGGAAACAGGUGCUAAUACCGUAUAACAAUCGAAACCGCAUGGUUUUGAUUUGAAAGGCGCUUUCGGGUGUCGCUGAUGGAUGGACCCGCGGUGCAUUAGCUAGUUGGUGAGGUAACGGCUCACCAAGGCGACGAUGCAUAGCCGACCUGAGAGGGUGAUCGGCCACAUUGGGACUGAGACACGGCCCAAACUCCUACGGGAGGCAGCAGUAGGGAAUCUUCGGCAAUGGACGAAAGUCUGACCGAGCAACGCCGCGUGAGUGAAGAAGGUUUUCGGAUCGUAAAACUCUGUUGUUAGAGAAGAACAAGGAUGAGAGUAACUGUUCAUCCCUUGACGGUAUCUAACCAGAAAGCCACGGCUAACUACGUGCCAGCAGCCGCGGUAAUACGUAGGUGGCAAGCGUUGUCCGGAUUUAUUGGGCGUAAAGCGAGCGCAGGCGGUUUCUUAAGUCUGAUGUGAAAGCCCCCGGCUCAACCGGGGAGGGUCAUUGGAAACUGGGAGACUUGAGUGCAGAAGAGGAGAGUGGAAUUCCAUGUGUAGCGGUGAAAUGCGUAGAUAUAUGGAGGAACACCAGUGGCGAAGGCGGCUCUCUGGUCUGUAACUGACGCUGAGGCUCGAAAGCGUGGGGAGCAAACAGGAUUAGAUACCCUGGUAGUCCACGCCGUAAACGAUGAGUGCUAAGUGUUGGAGGGUUUCCGCCCUUCAGUGCUGCAGCUAACGCAUUAAGCACUCCGCCUGGGGAGUACGACCGCAAGGUUGAAACUCAAAGGAAUUGACGGGGGCCCGCACAAGCGGUGGAGCAUGUGGUUUAAUUCGAAGCAACGCGAAGAACCUUACCAGGUCUUGACAUCCUUUGACCACUCUAGAGAUAGAGCUUCCCCUUCGGGGGCAAAGUGACAGGUGGUGCAUGGUUGUCGUCAGCUCGUGUCGUGAGAUGUUGGGUUAAGUCCCGCAACGAGCGCAACCCUUAUUGUUAGUUGCCAUCAUUUAGUUGGGCACUCUAGCAAGACUGCCGGUGACAAACCGGAGGAAGGUGGGGAUGACGUCAAAUCAUCAUGCCCCUUAUGACCUGGGCUACACACGUGCUACAAUGGGAAGUACAACGAGUCGCAAAGUCGCGAGGCUAAGCUAAUCUCUUAAAGCUUCUCUCAGUUCGGAUUGUAGGCUGCAACUCGCCUACAUGAAGCCGGAAUCGCUAGUAAUCGCGGAUCAGCACGCCGCGGUGAAUACGUUCCCGGGCCUUGUACACACCGCCCGUCACACCACGAGAGUUUGUAACACCCGAAGUCGGUGAGGUAACCUUUUGGAGCCAGCCGCCUAAGGUGGGAUAGAUGAUUGGGGUGAAGUCGUAACAAGGUAGCCGUAUCGGAAGGUGCGGCUGGAUCACCU
rnacentral:rRNA from 1 species